CGAAAUGGUGAUUUAUGUAAUAAAGUUGGUGGUCAAUGUCCCACGCCUUGGAGUUAUCUUGGCCGGAUUAAGUCGAAUGCUGUGUACGCCAUGGUGGAAAUAAGUGUUGGGACCCACGCAACGUCCAUAGAUGGGUCAAUCAGUUAU